rnacentral:rRNA from 1 species
CAGCAGCCGCGGUAAUACGUAGGGUGCAAGCGUUAAUCGGAAUUACUGGGCGUAAAGCGUGCGCAGGCGGUUAUGUAAGACAGAGGUGAAAUCCCCGGGCUCAACCUGGGAACUGCCUUUGUGACUGCAUAGCUGGAGUGCGGCAGAGGGGGAUGGAAUUCCGCGUGUAGCAGUGAAAUGCGUAGAUAUGCGGAGGAACACCGAUGGCGAAGGCAAUCCCCUGGGCCUGCACUGACGCUCAUGCACGAAAGCGUGGGGAGCAAACAGGAUUAGAUACCCUGGUAGUCCACGCCCUAAACGAUGUCAACUGGUUGUUGGGUCUUCACUGACUCAGUAACGAAGCUAACGCGUGAAGUUGACCGCCUGGGGAGUACGGCCGCAAGGUUAAAACUCAAAGGAAUUGACGGG